CAACCAAUAUGUAUGGAUUAAGAUCUCCAUUUUGAAUUCUUUUGAAACUGGCUAGUGACAGGUAACUUGAGUCAGAGACAGGAUCACAUGGAAAGACAUGAGUUCCAUUUGUGAAAGUCAUCUUAUAUAGAUGAGAGGUUGGACGAAAUUGGCCACUGGCAUAAUUGAGAGCAAAGAUCUCAAUGAACACCCAAUGACCAACAGAUUUACCUCAAUGUCAGAUAACACCAACUCUAGAGUUUCACCAGUGUUGGAUGUGUACUGACGCCAGGAGUGAAGUACCUUCACUUGGACUCUCCACUGUGUGGUGUAUGGCCUGACAUCUUUGAGGUAAGCAAAUGUUGCAGCAGCCAUUAUAUGCUCGAUUAUGUUUAGAGAAAAUAAUAUGAUUAGAGGGGGUGAGUGCUGAUGAUGAUGAGAGGGUUUGAUAUGGAACUAUAUAUAGGGUGAUAGAAUAGGUUA